AGGGGUAAAUGGACACCGUGUUUAUUCAACUACCUUGAAAAUUUUCUUAGAAGCUACAGAACGGACUGCGCAAGGCGCUUAAAAACGUUAUACGUGAGAUACUGUUCAACACAGGAUUGACUGUCGUUACGCCAUGGAUGAAGCGGAACGUGUUAAGAUGGAGCAUCGCGAGAAGCUUAAGUCUGAGGUGCGAAAGCGCCUUGAGGAAGCUUCAAAAAAAAAGAAAGCAUCAGGAUUUCUCACAGCCGAACGCAAGAAAAAGCUAAAGAAGCUCCUUCGUGAGGCGAACCAAGCAGCAGUUCUCCGAGAGUUAGAAAGGAAGACCGUGCUACGAAAGAAGGUGAUCGCAGAGCGCUGUGGCCAACCGGCAGAUUUAGACCGUGUCUUCGAUAUCAAGGAACUUCAAUCGGUUAUGUCAGGAUAUCACGCUCGCAUUGUCGUUUUAGAAGAAGCUAAAUACGACCUUGAAUAUGAAGUUCGUCAGAACGAUUUCAUGCUGAACGAACUUACCAUACAGGUCAACGAGCUGAGAGGAAAAUUCGUUAAACCUGUACUCAAAAAGAUUUCCAAAUUUGACAAGCUGAAAAAGUGCAUCAAAGCGAGCGAUGGUGGAGCUACUGAAAGUUUGCACUUCAGUCGGCAAUCAUUGAAGGCUGUGAAAAAAAAAGUGAAACUCGAGGAGAAAGAUAAGGCAGAAAGGCCUAAAUGGGCCUCACAGAAAUCCUGUCCGGAUGGCGUCACCGAACUGUAAAAUGCGGCAUUAAAAAAGCAAUAUCGAAUAUUAUAAGAACCACUGCGUCAAUAAGGCCCAUUUGAAGCUAAUCGAAGAUCGGCUCGAUCCACGUACGUAUUUUAGAAGUUGGGAAAUGGUUGACAUAUUGUAACAUGUCUUGGCUUGGAAACAGACUAAACAAAAGGCCAAGAUGUUGACCCUCUUUUUCAAGUGACUAUUAGAACACACUGGCUUAGCUUACUCGAACCACGAACGUCGCUGAGAUGUCGGCCUUCCCCGCCGAAAAAUCAAGCUAGGACCUAAUUAAUAGAAGCAGCCGGUUGAUAAAAUGUUAUUUAGGCCAAAACUCGUAGCUGUCGUAUCUUUUCAGCCUCAGAAAAAUAACUCGUCUCUAAGCAGAGUAUUCUGGAAAAGGUUUAAGAGUCUUUUUAUUUUAUAUUUUAGAAUACUAUGACUGUUAUCGACGGUGGUAACAGCAGUACAUGUGUUCGAUACUUGAUUACAUUUUUGGUUGUGACCUUCAACGAUUAAUUCAUUAAUGGUCCAAAACUAUUACCGAUCAAUUACACACUGCAGUACGACAUAUAGUCUAACUUAUUAUGUUAUAUUAGACUCAUAUAAAGAAAUUCGUGCUGAAGGCGCGAGCGAGUCGUGAUUUCACAUAAGUAGGUCUAUCUUGUUGCGUACACGUGUAAAACUAAUUAAAUGCAACCACACCACUUUAGUAGCAGAAAAACACAAUGUAUGUUCCCAUUCAACAGAAUACGAUGGCCUCACAGUGUGAAUUGUUUUCAUUAAUUAAAGUAAUAGACAAUCGGCUGUACUAUGCAAUAGUAAACCCGUCGGCCUAUUGUCCCGGCUAGUCCCGGAAGUCAUGAUGGUAAUAAAAAUAAUAAUGAUCAUUUAAAAUCAAAAUAAAUAGUUUAGUCAAAAAAGUCAAUGUCUUACAAAGUUCAAAAUACGGCAUAUGAAUUAGGACUUCUUCUUAUGCGCUGUGUCUAAAACUAUACCUAAAAAAAACAACCAGAUUAUGCAUUUUUUACGUUUGGUAAAGGCGCCAUUUUUGACAGUCAUGUUUGUCCAAUAUAAUCACCCUUGACCGCCAUUACAGCUUCAAGUCGGGAUCAAAACAACUCAUUUGUUGUUACUCAAAUAUUCCUUUUUUAAUUCGAGAAGGUCUUUUUUUACAGCAAAUGCGCGCCAUACGAUAUUAAAAGGUAUAAACUUGAUUAAUUGUCGUUUAAGUACGCUACAUACAAAAAUUCCAGCGGAGUCAAAUUCUGGGCUAAUCAUAGGCCAAAAGUCCCAGAAAUGCGAGCGCCCAAAAACGUUCAAGAGGUCAAGGAAGGUACGCAUUGGAGCGAACCAAUAGACAAUCGUUCUCUGAGUUGUCGCCUAUUCCUUCUGACGUGCUGUCUAAAACACUCUAAUAAGCUGAUAGACUGUAGCCAUGAGAAGAUUUAGCAGUAACGUAUUUUGCUUACUGAACUUCGAACUAUUUAAUAAUGUCGUCUAUAUUCGUCACAUAUACGCAUAUUGUUUGCUGUCACCUGCGGCAGUGUAUAAUGGGGACGUCACAAACAAUACAUUCAUACUAUCUGCAUGGGAUUGCGUGACUGAUUCAGCUCACAUGCUAGUACCAACCGUCCAUUGUCAAUUAGCUAAGCAUGGUCUAUUUGAAUGUAUCAUAUACUCUAAUCGGGCUGAGGUCCCUUCCUGCAACACCUGUAUCUAUCGAUGUUCAGCUAUAUGUCACAAGUACGGCUCAUCAUCACCAAUGAUUUACUCUCCAAGACUGCGAUUUUACCCUAGCCUUAGAUCACACAAAAAGGCCCUCAGUGAAAACCGAGUAAGGGAAUGUAAAAAUUUAUAUAUUUUGCUUGCGACGUGUAUGCGAAGACCGAAUCAGGUUCUUGUGAGAAAAAUUCUUUUUACAUCACUAAGUUUUUGACGAUGCAAUAUCCUGUAGUAGUGAACCAACAUGACUUUAUGUGGUAACCAUGUCCAACUUUUGUCAAUGAUUUAAUGAUCGCAUGCAGUGUCUUUGAGCUACGAUACCACUGCACGUUUGUGAGUGGCUAAUCUGAUUAGGGGACGAUCUUUCAAAGCAGACAUUUGUGUGCGACAAAAGCCGCCGGGCAUUGUAUGACAUUAGUGUCCGUGAACAGCGCGUCGAAUCAAUAAACUAGGGUAAGGAGUGUUGUAGGUAAAUAGAGUUUUUCGUCUCAUAGUGCAGUCGAGUGCCUAUUCGCAAAGAACUGCUUGAAACAGUCUUACUAACUUGAUAGUAUUCAAAAUGGCGUACUCUUGCUGGCACAGAGGCCUUCAGAAUAGUACAACUAACUCCGUUAGAACCAGGCAAACCUUCAAACUAGACUCGAUUAAUGGUUUUGUGCUAUUAGUUUCAAAGCUGGUUGAAUGGAGAAACUUUAUAUGUGAUACUGCAAUACUGAUUUUGCGUUUAACCAUUAGCGUGUACAGUUACUUAUGUAUACGUCCUACGGCCAAAAUUGCUAUUGGCCAAAAUUCUUAGUAUUUUAUAGGAUAUUUUUACUGUGAUCAGACUCGUUUAUCCUCAUUAACUGAAUAUGGAAGUUCGACUACCAAAGAACUGUUAAAAGUAGGAUUGAUCAUAUGUACUGGAUAAAUGGACACCGUUCUAAGAAUUUCUUCAAAUCAUUCUGAUUCAUACGUUACAUAGUUAGAAGGCUUUAGAAAUAAUUAGAAGACAAGACCUUUAUUAGAUUGUCUAUCUAUUUGUAACAGAGCAGCGGUGGUUAAAAGAGUCAACGAUGCUGGCUACAGUUUGCGUGACUGAAUACUGAUCCAAGUUGUUAUACAACCAUUUUUAUAGCCGAAGACCGUUGGUAAAAAUGGAGUUAAGUAAAAUUAGACUAAUGUCACCCUUAAUAGGAAGUCGGACAGGCGAAGCGAGACCGCUUUACAUUAGCAGCCGAUUCGAACUUCAAAUACGUAAUGGGGAACUGUGUUAGCUGGUUAUGCGAUAUGUGUCCGCUACUGACGCCUAUCUAUGAGCAGAUGGUUGAACUCGGCAGCGCGCUUUGGCAAAAGGUAACGGAAUUCUAUAGGAUGAUACGCAGAGCUCUUGAGGUGUUCUUCUUGGAGCGGACAGAUAUUGCUGUCUGCUUCACUAUCGCAGAAGCUAUCUUUUCGAAGCCUAGAGUUAAUCUCCAUAAUGAAGGCUUCACGUCCACUACGGUGGCUCCGGGGACACGGGCAGAGCUCUGGAAAAAAUCUGGUAAGUGUUUGCUCAACCUUGGUGUGCAGAAUGAGACUUCCACGUGGGACACCACGUUUUUUAAUAAAAGAUCAUGAAUCCUUUAAGACGAAAAGGGAGUUUUUAAAGAAAAAUAAUGGAAUAACGGAACAAACAUGGGAAAAUGGUUCAUUUUUUAUCACCCAGGUCUUUGGCGAUCGUGUCUUUUAACGUGCUCAUGUUAAAUUCUCGCCCAAUUGGUGAUUUAUACCAUAACCCUAAUGGCUUGUAGAAAUGAAGAAAGAAAAUGGCUUUGACGUAUUGUUAAUUUUUUAAGAAGUCAUUUACCAGCGGUAUCAGUAGCUACUAUGAUGACGGAAACAUCCAGCGGUUAAAUCGCAACAUUAGGUACAUCAUUAUAUUAUAUCAGGAGAAUAAUUUAUCGGCCUAUUUGCUUAACUGACUCGUAUAGGGCCUAACGGCCUCCUUGCACUAUCAUUGUUAAUAUCCACUGCAAAAAAAUAGAUAGCAUGAUUCACACUCCCUUUCGUAUUGCAUAGAAAUCAAAGAAGAACAAAUAAAAGGUACAUUUCCCAAACGCGGGUCGGCAAAAUGUUUAUUCAUGAUGGAUACGUCAUUGAUGGGUGAUUGAAAUAAAUAACUCUGACGUGUUUUGUUAUCUUGUUCAACAUAGGAUUUCUGCCGGUGCUAUUUAAACAUUUGGAGAACGUCUCAAUGUCCGGCGGAACCGAAGUUACAGUUGCUGAACUUGAGGCAAUCGGGUGGACCGUCGAUCGAGUGAUUGAAGAAAUAGCAAAUGUUUACAGACGGACACAAAACAGUCAUUUAGUCAAUGGGGGCUGUGUUAACGGCAACAACAGUCUUCAGACGGAACGAUUUUUCCGUUUGUGCGCAGAACGACUGGCGCCAAGCCUCUUUCAAGCUAUGGCAAACAAAGUACAUAGCUUAUGAACUAUAUAUUUAGUCGUAACUCGAGUUCUGAUAUGACUCAGCAUUAGCGAAAUGUCUGUUAAAAGAGGUUUUGUGUGUAAUAUGCGUAAGUGUUGUGUAACUAAAACACAAUAAGCAGUAUAUGAGGGCGUCACUUGCCCAGAUGUAAACGUUAAAAGCAGAUCACCAUUAUGGUUAUGAAGUUCGUUUUUAGGACGAAUUUCAAAAAUGCACGGGAAGUAUCUUACAUCUUAGGGCCAAAAGGACAAACCAGAAAUACUACGGCACGUUAUAAAGGUCGGGUUUUAUAAACUUUUUUUUUUUAUCAUUUGUCGUAUCGGACUUUAAUUGCUUAAGGAAGUGGUAAAAAUCACAACGAAAAAAGGAAGUUAUUGGUAAUAACUGUCCUAAGAAUUAGGACACGAUUGUAUGCAUUUACAUCGCUUAUUGUUGGCGUUUAUUGUAUGUAUUCACAAGUACAAUAGUGAUAAUAUCACUUAAUAAAAAGACCAUGCGUAGGAAGAACAGA